UAUUUAGGUAGCGCCUCGUGAAUUCAUCUCCGGGGGUAGAGCACUGUUUCGGCUAGGGGGCCAUCCCGGCUUACCAACCCGAUGCAAACUGCGAAUACCGGAGAAUGUUAUCACGGGAGACACACGGCGGGUGCUAACGUCCGUCGUGAAGAGGGAAACAACCCAGACCGCCAGCUAAGGUCCCAAAGUCAUGGUUAAGUGGGAAACGAUGUGGGAAGGCCCAGACAGCCAGGAUGUUGGCUUAGAAGCAGCCAUCAUUUAAAGAAAGCGUAAUAGCUCACUGGUCGAGUCGGCCUGCGCGGAAGAUGUAACGGGGCUAAACCAU
rnacentral:rRNA from 7 species